GCUUGUAGGGAAAUCCUGCCCUCGCUCACCCACUGCUGUACUACCUCCACGUCACCACCCAGGCAGAACACUCCCUGGAGAAGCAGACCAGGAGACGAGCUCCAAGACAGAGUGAGCUGCCAGGACAGGCUCCAUGGUAUGAAACAGGGUACUGCUCUCCAUAGUGUGCAAGGAUGUCUGGCCCCACAGCACUGCCUAGUCCUCGGGAUUACUUGCCUCAGCCAGCCUGAUGCCACGAUAUUGCCAUGGUUUUGACAGCAAGUCACACCUGAAGAAAGGAAAAGAGAAGCUGUGAAGCCAGACAUUACCUUAGCACAACCACAGCUACGCAGUGGAUGACAGCAAAGAAGGAAUUUUGGCAACAACCUCUCAAGGAUUUUGCUGCUCCUCAGGGUAUCUUCUGACUCAGUGAAGGGCACUUACGAGGUGGAAAAAUGACAGGCUGUGCAUCCUCCAUCCUUGGAGAUUUUCAAGACUGGAUAAAACUAUGAGCAAUCUGGUCAGAUCUUCAGCCAACCCUGAUUUCAACAAGAGGUCAUUCUGGAAAACUCCAGGGGUGUCUUCCAAUCUGAACUAUGCUGUGCCCAUUGCAACACAAGAAUUCUGUGGUGCUGCUGCCCAUGCUUAGCAGAAUAGCAACUUCUGGCCUUUAUUUCCUGACCAGAACCAAGUAUUUGAUCUCUGCUAAUGACAAACUCUUCCAUUUUUCAUGCUUCACCUGAAAGAGUUGCUGGGUAUGGCUGCAGAAGCAGCUCAAUCCCAUAGUGCAAGACUUAUCCACAGGCAUUUCCAGCUAGCUUAAAUUGUGAGCUCUUAAACCAAUGAGUACUGACACUUUGCAUUGCAUUGUGUGGACAUAAAAUGUAGCUGGGAAUUUAAGUAAUGAGCAGAAAUUUCUCUUAAUCUUGUCAUAUUCCCUUGAAGGCAGUCAUGAAGUACAACACAGUUUAUUCCCUAGUGCUUGUCAUGCUUCACCUUAUGAAUAAUCCAAACAUACAACUUUGCUUCCAUUUUGUAGAGUUCUGCUGAUUCUUUUUUGUUCUUUCCAUGCCUAUCUUUCCAUUUACUGGCAAGUAUUUUCUCUUCAUUUGUGCAUAUAAACCACAUAAUAACACCAAGGUUAUGCACUCUCAAGGCUACUCUUCCACACAACCUUUCCUCAUGAUGAGCAGUGCUUGUAAAUGUACUAAAACUGAGAAGAGACACAGGGAGCACGCUGCCCUAGUAAAGUUGUCUGAGCUCUCACUACAAUAAAAUAACCUAGAAUGUAGCACAAAGAAAAGGAUACACUAUUCUGUGGAUGUAGCUGACAAACCAUCAGAAUUUGCUGUGAUUAGAAAAGCUUAAGGCAGUAACAGCUGUGUAGGCACUUUCCUGCUUCUCGGUGAGCACAGUUACUGCUGGUAUCUAGUGCGGUGUCAGGAACACCAACAAAAUACAAGAGUUCUCAUACAAACAUAGCCUGCCAUGUGGGUUGGCACACGGCUCAGUAAACUGUGUGGUGCAGAGGCAAAUAUGUUUGAAGGUUGAAAGAAGGCUCAGAAACUUCAUAGCUCAGGCAUAUAAGGACUAGAUAGCAAAAUUAUGUUUCAGGGGCUCAGUUAUGCUUCUUGUGGCAAUGAGCAGGAACAGUUCUGGCCCAGCCUCCCAGAAAGGUUAAAUUAAGAGUAGGCAAUUUGUAGCAAUUGCUGUCAAGGGGAUGGGGAAAAGGGCAGUGUGGCUCAGAACUGAUUAUGGCAGUGCAGAACUACUGCAAAAGAAUGGACACCACCUUAUCCUUAAGGAUUAGAAGUGGGCCAGCUUUUGUGAACAUCACAGUAAAAAAAGCUGUGCCUUGACAGAAUGGUGUAGAAUGGGUUAAGCAAAUACAUUGUUGCUUAUAUGCAAACUCUAUCAGAAGGAUAUCUGAGCCAGGGCCAUGUCCAGCCUGCCUGUCACACUCGCUGAAAUAGUUCAUCACCCAGCUGAACUGCAGGAUUAUGAGCACCUUCAUUACCUGUCUGUGUUCUAUUUGUUUGAAUAGAUGGAAUGACCACAGAGACAGGGUGUCAGAUAUUGUCACACACUCCAUAUCUCAGUAUUUUGUCUGCAGCCCCAGAUAUCUCCCAGCAAAAGGCAACCUUCCAGUGAGCUGUCAGUGCUGUCACCUUUGUACAGCAGCAGAGCAGGAGUUGCACCUAAUUAGCAGAACAAAGUAACAACAAGGAUGACCUCCAGCCACCCCCUGCUUAAAAGACAAUGAAGAAUGAUCUGUAAAUGCCAUGUAAAGAGGGACUUGACAGCAGCAACUGCCAAUCACACUGGGAGAAAGUUUAUAAGCAAAGGUGAGGAACUUACAGCAUGAGAAGGCAGAUCUGACCUAGCUUUUGUCCACCUGGCUGGAUACCCACAACAACAAAGACAGGGAGUCUUAGACAGCAGCACGAAGCAAUGGCCACACAAAUGGGCAGGGACCCUGGUGGCUCUCUACUCUGCAGUGCUGGCACGGGGGGAUAAGUCCCAGAAGGAGGGGAAGAACAGAGACAGAACAGCAGGGUCCUUUCUGAGGCUGAGCAGACAGCCCUCAAUUGGCACAACCACAGAAAGCUGAAUUUAUCAUCCACCCACAGACUCUGGGACUGCCGGCUUGAGCAUCCUCAUUAGCAGCUUCAGUUCUCAUAGGCAGCAAAGAGGGGUGGCAUGCAGGGAGGAAGGAGGGUGAAGCAGCCUGGAAGCUGGGAGGACACAAGGACAACAAGACACGGUGAGUCAAGGAGCUGGAUACCACCGUGGGACCAUGGUAUUAUCUCAGUGCAAAAUGCCAAGGAGCUACUUUUGGAGCAGGACAAUCUGUCCUGUAAUGACAGGGUUAAUUUUAAAUUGGCUGAGAGCUUCUGGGACUUUUUCGAUUCCACUGUCAAAUCUCUGGGGCUGGCACUUGCUAAUUACAAUAAUAUGAGGUGACAGUCACAUGAGGAGUGAUGGAUGGCUGAGCAGGGCUGAAAAUCCAGAAGGUCAGAUCACAAUGAAUUAUAGUGGCAGAGAGCAGAAGCCCCUUCCCCAGAUCUUCUCUUCCUCUCUCCCCUCUUUUUCCCCCCACUAUCUGCAGCACCUCAAAAGCAAAACUGUAAAGAGAAAUCAUUCUCAUGACUAGAAUGUAAAAUGGAUGGAAGGUGCCAGGAGCUGGGUUUCAGUAUCACUCCAGCUAUCCAAAUUCACAAAGCACAGAGCCAAAAGGGACCAAGUAAGCAUCUCAUUUCAUUUCCCACAUACCAUGGGCUGCCAGACAGCACCUGACUUUAGUGACUGUAAAAGCAAAAUCAUUAUGAACUCUUAAGAUUUUAUUUUGACACAAAGAAGCCUACACAAAGAAAACACAAAACUGGAGUAAAACACCAGGAGCUCUGAGUGUUCCUAUUCAGCAUUCAGUUUGCAUGGGCCUGAAAGGUCAUGCAGAGAUAGGGUCUUUUGCAUGUAAAACUGAGAUACUUCUAAGUUACACUGUCAGCUCUUUCCCCCCUUAUCUAGCUCAGAAAAAACUGGCUUUGGUUCAGCCCAUUCCCAUAACCAGCAAAAGAAUUACAGCUACUGCCAUUCACACAUAAAAGGUCAGUUCAGCCCUGACCUCAGACUUACCCAAUGGGUCUGUGCAGAGUUAAUAUGAGUGAUUAGUUCAGAUUUCCCCCUCCAGCAUUUCACAGUGAUGCUAUGAACUGUUGGCCACUGACUCUGCUGGAGACUGCCAUGUGAGAACUUUCUAAUGAUACCAAAAUUCUCUGAAGGUGAAACCCACUCCCCAUCCACAGUACAUGGUUUUCAUGACAAGUAUCACAUCUUACUGAUUUCUUAACACUGCUCAGUUGGAGUGAGUCACACCCCUGGAAAAGGUGGCCCAUAUUAAGCCCCAGGUCAGUAGUCCAUGGAUUUUGGAAAUGCUACAUCUGUCUGCUGUGGCCAUUUCUAAAAGAUAUCCCAAGGAAUUAAACUGAAAUAAAAGUAACUGAGCUUUACAUGGAAACAAGCUUUCUGUUGGACUUGCAAAAUUAAAAAAUGUGGCUGGGCCCUCUGUAGUAUCUCUUCUCAGAUUAUGAACAGUUCCUUCCUAAUACUUGAUGGCUUUUUGUAACUUCUACUUUUAAAUGUAACAUUUUUCCUGCCCGAUUUAUCUCAACAGACUUUCUCAAUGCCUCAAGAAUCAGCUGAAGUUACACAUUUUUGAAGCCAAACUUAAAACAAGUUGAAAGAUGGAAAGGGUAAUUUAUCAUAAACAAAAUUCCUUAAGUAUUAAGUUCAGUAGCAGUUGCACUCAAAUGUCUAAUGAGACAACUGGAGAAAAAGUCUCUUUCUGGAGGAGUCAUAAAGCUUUAGAACAUUUGUCUCUGCUGAUCUGGUGAUGACUGCUCUUCCAAAAAAGGUCUCCAGCUGUAUUAGGUGGGAACCAACAAAAGCACAGAGAUACCCAAGUUUGAAUUUAGCUCAAAGACAAAAUAUAACUAUUAUAUUAUUAUUUAAUAUCAAUUUGUAUA